GCAGUGCUAUGGAAAACAUCUUGCUUAGUGCCGGUACCAAAAGUAGCACGGCCCUGUGUCCCCAAUGACUACAGGCCAGUAGCGCUGACCGCUCACCUAAUGAAAGUUUUUGAGAGACUGAUCCUCCGAUCCAUUCGGCCCAUUGUCAAACCCUUCCUUAAUCCGUUACAGUUUGCCUACCAGCCUCAACUUGGAGUGGAUGAUGCCAUCGUCCACCUGCUACAUCGAACCUAUACUCACUUAGAGAAACCGAGGAGCUCUGUGAGGUUUAUGUUUUUUGACUUCUCUAGUGCCUUUAACACCAUCAGGCCCACCCUACUGGAGGAGAAGUUGAAGAACAUGCAGGUGUACACUCCUCUGGUCUCUUGGAUUAUGGACUACCUUACUGGCCGCCCCCAGUACGUCCGCAUACAGAACUGUGUGUCCGACACUGUGAUCUGCAGCACCGGUGCUCCUCAGGGGACAGUUCUUUCUCCCUUCCUCUUCACCCUGUAUACAUCUGAUUUUAUUUACAACUCCGAAUUCUGCCAUCUUCAGAAGUUCUCUGAUGACUCUGUGGUUGUAGGAUGUAUUCAGGGUGGUGACACCUCAGAGUAUCAGACGGUAGUGGACAACUUUGUUACCUGGAGUGAGCUAAACCACCUACACAAUGUCAGGAAAACAAAGGAACUUGUAGUGGACAUUAAAAAAUCCAGGACCGCCGUCACUCCUUUGUCUGUCCAUGGCGAGGAAGUGGAGAUUGUUGCAGAUUACAAAUACCUGGGAGUCCAUAUAGACAACAAACUGGACUGGCCGUCAAAUUCAACAGCACUCUUCAAGAAAGGUCAGAGCAGGCUGUAUUUUCUGAGGAGACUCAAGUCUUUUAACGUCUGCAACACCAUGCUGCAGAUGUUCUAUGAGUCUGUGGUGUUUAGUGUCAUUUUCUAUGCGGUGGUCUGUCGGGGAAGUAGUAUAAAGGUGGCAGACAGAAAUAAACUGAACAAACUAAUUAGGAGGGCUGGCUCUGUACUUGGCAUGGAGCUGGACCCUGUUCACGUUGUCAAUGCAAUUUAUUAUUAUUAUUACUGCCUAUUUAUUAAUACUAAGAUUAGUGUGCAAUACAUACUAUAUAACUACUGUACUUAAUUACCAUUACCAUACUGGACUUAUUAUACUCCACAUUUGUCAUUCCAUUCCACUUUAAUUAAUUUCAUAUUUGAUCUAAA
rnacentral:lncRNA from 1 species